CCUACGGGUGGCAGCAGUGAGGAAUAUUGGUCAAUGGCCGGGAGGCUGAACCAGCCAAGCCGCGUGAAGGAAGAAGGUGCAAAGUAUUGUAAACUUCUUUUGUCAAGGGACAAAAUCGGGCCCGAGAGCCUGACUGAGGGUACUUGAAGAAAAAGCAUCGGCUAACUCCGUGCCAGCAGCCGCGGUAAUACGGAGGAUGCGAGCGUUAUCCGGAUUUAUUGGGUUUAAAGGGUGCGUAGGCGGACUGUUAAGUCAGCGGUAAAAGCCCGGGGCUCAACCCAGGCGAGCCGUUGAAACUGGCGGGCUUGAGUUGGAGUGAGGUAGGCGGAAUGCGCGGUGUAGCGGUGAAAUGCUUAGAUAUCGCGCAGAACUCCGAUUGCGAAGGCAGCGUACCGGCUGCACACUGACGCUGAGGCACGAAAGCGUGGGUAUCGAACAGGAUUAGAUACCCGGGUAGUC
rnacentral:rRNA from 1 species